UGCCUCUCAGAUUCUGCUUCUCCAG
rnacentral:piRNA from 1 species